UUGAAUGUUGUAUGCGUGCUAAGUAGUGUCGGUUCAAAGAACCUCGUUGGAGUUUAAGGCACGUUGCAUCCUUUAUUUUAGGUGCAAGUAGGUGCGAAAAAACCGACAUGCUGCUUCGGUACGUGUACUUGUUUAUGAUGUCAUGUAUGUAUCUAAAUCAAAAUUCUGCUACUAUACAUAUACGUAUGUAAUAAUACAUAUAAACGUCUUACACUCUCGCCACGACAAAACGUGCUACAUAAAUACAAACAACGUGCUACAUACGUUUACAUACGUACGUAUGUACAUUAUAGCACGUUAUUGUAGCGAGAGUUUUAGGGGCAUAUAUAGAAGAAUGUAGUAAUAAGAUGUAAGGUGUUUUUGGGUGGGGGGUGAAGAGGAGGUAGAGACGGGGUAAAGGGCCCAUCCCAGCUCAUGAUCUUAUGCAUAUGUCUGGAUGGCGGUGGAUGCCGGUGGAUGCCGGUGGUGGGUGCGGAACAUGAGCGAUCCACUGAGAAGUUGACUGGGGUGACUGGAUGAGGGUGCCCCGAAAUACCGGGGAAGGCAGGGUUUCGCAGGGUAGCUGCCACGGGCGAAGAUACACCCCCACUGUUUCACACAUCAUACAUCUGUGUGUAUAUUUAAUAACCACACUGAAUAACCACGCAACCAAGGUGUAGCACACACAUACACACACAUACACACACAUACACACACAUACACACACAUGCACGCACAUGCACACAUAUACACACACAUACACACACAUACACACACAUACACACACAUACACACAUACACACACAUACACACACAUACACACACAUGCACACACAUGCACACACAUGCACACACAUGCACACACACAAUCAACAUACAGAUAGAGUAAAGCAAGGAGAAGUGGGCAAUGCAACUGCUGAGUGUCGUACAGAUAACAUAAUCGAGAAAUAAAUUCCUGCUUUCCAUCAGCACAUCUUA
rnacentral:lncRNA from 1 species